rnacentral:rRNA from 1 species
UAAUACGGAGGAUCCAAGCGUUAUCCGGAAUCAUUGGGUUUAAAGGGUCCGUAGGCGGUUUAGUAAGUCAGUGGUGAAAGCCCAUCGCUCAACGGUGGAACGGCCAUUGAUACUGCUGAACUUGAAUUAUUAGGAAGUAACUAGAAUAUGUAGUGUAGCGGUGAAAUGCUUAGAUAUUACAUGGAAUACCAAUUGCGAAGGCAGGUUACUACUAAUGGAUUGACGCUGAUGGACGAAAGCGUGGGGAGCGAACAGGAUUAGAUACCCUGGUAGUCCACGCCGUAAACGAUGGAUACUAGCUGUUGGAAGCAAUUUCAGUGGCUAAGCGAAAGUGAUAAGUAUCCCACCUGGGGAGUACGUUCGCAAGAAUG